rnacentral:rRNA from 1 species
UUAACGGAGGAAAAGAAACUAACAAGGAUUCCCCUAGUAACGGCGAGUGAAGCGGGAAGAAGCUCAAAUUUGAAAUCUGGUAGCCUUCGGCUGCCCGAGUUGUAAUCUAGAGAAGUGUUUUCCGUGCCGGCCCAUGUACAAGUCCCUUGGAACAGGGCGUCAUAGAGGGUGAGAAUCCCGUCCUUGACAUGGACCCCCGGUGCUUUGUGAUACACUUUCAACGAGUCGAGUUGUUUGGGAAUGCAGCUCAAAAUGGGUGGUGAAUUCCAUCUAAAGCUAAAUAUUGGCGAGAGACCGAUAGCGAACAAGUACCGUGAGGGAAAGAUGAAAAGCACUUUGGAAAGAGAGUUAAACAGUACGUGAAAUUGUUGAAAGGGAAACGAUUGAAGUCAGUCAUGCUCUUUGGAUUCAGCCGUUCUGCGGUGUAUUUCCAUUGAGUGGGGUCAACAUCAGUUUUGAUCGCUGGAUAAAGGCACUAGGAAGGUAGCACUCUCGGGUGAACUUAUAGCCUAGCGUCAUAUACAGUGAUUGGGACUGAGGAACGCAGCAUGCCUUUAUGGCCGGGAUUCGUCCACGUACAUGCUUAGGAUGUUGACAUAAUGGCUUUAAACGACCCG